CUUCCACCUCCUCCACUGCCACCCCACUCUCGACCACCUCCACCACCCAGCCACCACUCCCCCUAAUCUCCAGUUCUCCACCAUCAUUUCCCUCCUCACCUACAACCGUUCCAAAUCCCACUAGUCCCGCCUCCGCUCUCUUCUCACCAACACCACCACACUCCUCAACCCUACCCGCUUUUCCCAAAUCACCCUCCAGUUAAAAUCAAAUCUCCAUCUUGCCCCCCGCUCCUUCCGCGUCACUCUCCACAACUCCUCCCUUUGCACACACAAUCUCCACUCCUAUCCCGCCAUCAUUUAUAUCCUCUCUCUUGCCCACCUUAAGUCCAAGGGCCGGGGCAUUAUUCGGUCCGGACUCCGGUCACUCGUUUUGUUAACUAAUGAUGAGGGUGCCUAUGCGGGGCAGACAGGACUAGACAGGAUGGAACUGAAUUGUACAGGAAAAAGGUUGUCGCAGGUACCAAACGCUAAAAGAGGUGAUUUUUUAAAAAAAGUUUUUGUGAAAACUUAUAGAGAGUGUGAUUCUGCUCCAUUUGUGUUUGAUUUGUUGAUAAAAUCUUGUUUAGAAUUGAAAAGGAUUGAUGGGUCUCUUGAGAUUGUGAGGAUGUUAAGGUCUAAAGGGAUCAGCCCAUCAGUUAGUACUUGUAAUACUUUGAUAUGUGAGGUUUCUAGGGGUAAAGGGUCAUUUGCUGGUUAUGGGGUUUUUAAGGAGGUUUUCGGAUUGGAAAGUUGUGAACUUGAGGGGAAAAUGAGAAGGGGUUUUAGAGUGACGCCUAAUGUACAUAGUUUUAAUGAAUCAGUGGUGGGUUUCUAUAAAGAUGGUGAAGUGCAGAUGGUUGAGGGGAUUUGGAGUGAAAUAAGCAGAUUUGGCUGUGUUGCAUAUGGGUUUGGCUUUGGUGUUUUAAUGGCUUUUUUUUUUGUGAGGGAGGGAGGUUGGGUGAAACAGAGAAGUUAUUGGAGGAAAUGAGAGUGAAAGGAAUAGUGCCUGACAUUGUUGCUUAUAAUACUAUCAUCGGGGGGUUUUGUAAGGUUGGAGAGGUUGAGAAAGCUGAGGGUCUUUUUAGAGAAAUGGGGUUGAGUGGAAUUGAGAGUACUUGUGUUAAUUUUGAGCAUCUUAUUAAGGGAUAUUCUAGAAUUGGGGGUGUUGAUUCGGCUAUUGUGCAUAAGAAUAUGUGUAGGAGAGACUUCAGGCUUGAAGCUUUGACAAUGGAGAUGUUGAUUGGAGGGCUUUGUUAGCAGAAAAGAGUUUUUGAAGCUUUGAAGAUUAUAAGGAAUGCAAUGGGAGAUCUGAGUUUGCAUUCGAGUGGGAAGAGUUGUGAGUUGUUGAUUAAGGGAUUUUGCGAGGAUGGGAAAUUGGAGGAAGCAUUGAAACUUCAAUCAGAGAUGGUGGGGAAAGGAUUUUAAUCAAAUUUAGCAAUUUAUGGUGCUUUUAUUGCAGGGUAUGCGAAGUUGGGAAAUGAGAACAUGGCAGCCUGUUGAGGAAGGAAAUGUCAGUAGCUCAAAAGCAGCAGCAAGAGGAUUGAAUGUUAACAUUUGACUAGUUGUGAGCCUAUACCUUGGGUUUUUGUGUUCAUCUUCAAAAGUUUGAGAAAUUUGGUGCAUGUUCUGUAAGGAUCUUUGAAAGCUUUUAGCACCAUGGAUGUGCUGCCAGCCUCUGCAUUUUGCUAGUAGGCAAAUGAUAUUUGCUAAAAGGAUGGUUGAUGGUGUAUGAUCAUCAAGAACAUCUUGAUUCUUGACAGUUACAUUUUGUGUCUUUUACAAUCAAAGAAGUGCACAUGCUCGAUGGAGGUAUAGCUGGGUGUAACACAUAAACUGACUUUCAAGUAUGCAACAAAUGAACUCAGAAAGCAGUCUUGCCUGGUGGAUUCAAUGGUUGAGAUAGAUAAUGAUUGAUGAGAUAGAUAAUGAUUGACGAGAUCACGGCAAUCAGGUGAAUGAUAUUUGCUAAUUGGAUGGCUGGUGGUGUAUGGUCCUCUAGAACAUCUUGAUUAUUGACAGUAUCGAGUUUGUUUUCAUCAAGAUGAGCAGAUUCUGGUGCGUUGCAACCAAGGAAAUCUAUUUGUUUUGCUCCUUGUCGGAGCAAUGACUCCUUAAAAAAAGAACAUGCAGAGUUAUGAAACGUGAAGACUUAGGUGUUGCCCGCCAACUUGGUGACCUUAAUCUUCUCUCUGUUGAUGCGAUGUCGUCUGUCCAUUGGUGAUAAAUGUGAACUACCGGAGAGUGGCACUUAAAAUUUGAUAGAACGAGUUUUAUGCUGGCCGUAAAGAUUAUCGAUCCAUAUCCUUCUGCAGGCCUGGAACAUAUUGUUGGAGAUAAUAUGUUUGCCGCAAAACUGUUGAGUGCUUUUAUGUUCAGAUUGGCGCUAACCUAGUUGGCUAUAAGCUUAAGUUAGCUUCCCGAACAAAUUAUUGUACUUUCUAAAGUUAUAUGCGAGCAGCAAUGAAAUCGCUAGAUUUUUCUGGGGAAAAAAAA